rnacentral:rRNA from 1 species
ACGCUCGACACCUACGGGAGGCAGCAGUGGGGAAUAUUGGGCAAUGGGCGCAAGCCUGACCCAGCAACGCCGCGUGAAGGAAGAAGGCUUUCGGGUGUAAACUUCUUUUAUUCGGGACGAAGAGAUGACGGUACCGAAUGAAUAAGCCACGGCUAACUACGUGCCAACAGCCGCGGUAAUCUGAGCGGGCUGGCAAGGC